AUAAAUUAUUUACCAUUUUUAUUUUUCAAAGGAAAAUGGUGGAUAAUUCACCAUUUUUUUCUUUUAUUUUUCUCAUACAAUCCUAAUAAUCGCAUAAAAAAUCAUAACAGCCAACAAAUAAUUCUAUCGAACUCCUAAAAAUUCUAAGAACUUGCAAUACAAACAUAAGAAUUAAAUAAAAAUUCAACAAUCUAAAUCGCUUCUAACAAUUCCAUAAAAAUCUCACAAAUAAUAGUAAUAAUUUAAAAUUUUCUAGAAACGGUGAAUAAUUUAUCGUUCUUAAAGUCUGAUUAAAUAUGAUGAAUGAUUCACUCGUCUUUCACUUCUCUUUCCACUAUGAAAUUAA
rnacentral:lncRNA from 1 species